rnacentral:rRNA from 1 species
UGGGGAAUAUUGCACAAUGGAGGGAACUCUGAUGCAGCGACGCCGCGUGAGUGAUGAAGGAAUUCUUUUCGUAAAACUCUGUUUUAUGGGAAGAAAAGGACUGUACCAUAGGAGAAAGCUCCGGCUAAAUACGUGCCAGCAGCCGCGGUAAUACGUAUGGAGCGAGCGUUGUCCGGAAUUAUUGGGCGUAAAGGGUGCGCAGGCGGCUUUACAAGUUGGAUGUGAAAUAUUGUGGCUCAACCACAAACGUGCAUCCAAAACUGCAAAGCUUGAGUUAAGGAGAAGUAAGUGGAAUUCCUGGGGUAGCGGUGGAAUGCGUAGAUAUCAGGAGGAAUACCGGUGGCGAAGGCGACUUACUGGACUUAAACUGACGCUCAGGCACGAAAGCGUGGGGAGCAAACAGG